ACUCCUACGGGAGGCAGCAGUGGGGAAUCUUAGACAAUGGGCGCAAGCCUGAUCUAGCCAUGCCGCGUGAGUGAUGAAGGCCUUAGGGUUGUAAAGCUCUUUCAGAUGGGAAGAUAAUGACGGUACCAUCAGAAGAAGCCCCGGCUAACUCCGUGCCAGCAGCCGCGGUAAUACGGAGGGGGCUAGCGUUGUUCGGAAUUACUGGGCGUAAAGCGCGCGUAGGCGGACUGGAAAGUUGGGGGUGAAAUCCCGGGGCUCAACCUCGGAACUGCCUCCAAAACUAUCAGUCUGGAGUUCGAGAGAGGUGAGUGGAAUUCCGAGUGUAGAGGUGAAAUUCGUAGAUAUUCGGAGGAACACCAGUGGCGAAGGCGGCUCACUGGCUCGAUACUGACGCUGAGGUGCGAAAGCGUGGGGAGCAAACAGGAUUAGAAACCCCUGUAGUCC
rnacentral:rRNA from 1 species